rnacentral:misc_RNA from 1 species
GAUGAAGAACGUAGCGAAAUGCGAUAAGUAGUGUGAAUUGCAGAAUUCCGUGAAUCAUCGAAUCUUUGAACGCACAUUGCGCCUUCUGGUAUUCCGGAAGGCAUGCCUGUUCGAGAGUCCUUAACAACCGUUUCGAUCCCUUUCUUUCAGAAAUUACAAAGAGGAAAAGGGUUUGGUUAUGGUGGAGGAGGGAAAGGGAGCGUUUAGCCUGUAAAAAAAGAGGCUGUGUUCCGCCUCCCCCCCAAAAUUGUACAGGCGGUCGUGUGCGCCCACGCAUCGAGGUGUUGUAAAAGCUGCCACGGCACUUUUCACCUGUGCAGUGCGAGAUUGGCCAGCCGGUUUAAAAACCCCUCCAAACAAUCAAAGGUUGACCUCGGAUCAGGUAGGGAUACCCGCUGAACUUAAGCAUAUCAAUAAGCGGAGGA